AUGGGGGCAGAGGGGAUGAUUGACGAGGAGCCCCGCUGUUUGCCCACACUGAGAAAAGCCUCUACCCACUCCCAACAGCGUCUGCCACAAGAAUCCCAACAUCCACUGGAAGGUAAGUGGGGAGAGCCAGCCCCCUCAGCUCCCACUGCCCCAUCUCCUCCCCUGCUCUUUCCCCCCACUUCUCUUCUCCUCUGCUGCCUUAUCACACCCCAAACCUGGCUGAUAAGGAGCCAGAUCUGGCUGAGCCAGGAGCAAAGCCCAGAACAGGCUCUUAGCAGCCCAACCUCGCAGCACAUCGAUUUAUCUUCUGGAUCUGAACGCUCUGAAAUGACGAUCCCUCCGGAGACCAGGAGGUUGCCACCUGCACCCAGUGAGCCCAGCGCCCGCUGUGGGUUCCCAGCGGUGCCCACCUGGCCUGGCAGGGACACGGCGAGGUCUGGGGUCCAUCCUCACAGCACGGCUGCUGAGCACAGGGGGGGUUGUUCCUGGUGGCUGCUCAGGAAAUCCCACCCUCAGCUCCACGCCAGCAGUGCCGACCUCAGGCUCCUUGGGAAGCAGCCGGGUGAGGCCAUGGCCCUGCUCCCGGUAACCACGCGUGGCCCCUGCUCACCCCUGCACCAUCCCCGGGCACCUCCAGGCAGCGGUGGGAAGGGGAAGGGAAACACAAACCAGGUUGGAGAGGACACUGAGAGCCACCCCCGACUACAGCGCACUGCCAGCACGAAGGAGAGCCCUGCAGGUACCAACCAGCCAUCAGCUGCUGAACAGGACCGAGGCAGCUGGGCACGUGGGGAAGGCACAGCCCAGCCUAGGGCAAACAGAAGCAGAGCGAGGGCUGCAGGCUCUCAGCCGGUCCCCCCGCGCCAGCGCCGUGCCCAAAAUGCCUCCUGCACGUGCCAGCUGCUCCAGAGCCUGGCCGGAGGGCAGGGGCUGGUGGGAGCUGCAGGGCACCAGCUCCAAAUCCUCUCUCAGAGGAGAAAAACAAGGAUGGCAGAGGUGAAGGGGAGGGAGGGAGAUGCUGGGGGAGCUUAUCUGCUCAUCUGUGAGCGCACUGACUGGAAGGAGCAGGCCGGGCUCAUUAGCCAGGGAAGCUCUCCAAGCCCUUCCCGGCCCUCCCUGCCAAGGUCCUGCAGCCCCUGCCAAGGUCCUGCAGCUCCUACGGAUCGCAGGGUGAUGCACCUCAGCUGA
rnacentral:lncRNA from 1 species